rnacentral:lncRNA from 1 species
UGGCUUAAUCUCUCAAGCAAUUACUCAUAUGUGUGAUUGGAAAGAUGACUGGCAUUUGAUCUACGACACUACUAACUGAAGACGAUUUUAUGUUAUGAGACUUUGGCCUGAUUUCAGAGAUGUACUAAAUUCUGAAGUUUGUUGUAUGACACUACUAUCUGACAAGUACAUUUGUUCACACUUACUUGAGUGUACCCUAUGUGUCAAUUUGUGGUCUGUGAUUUUAAUAUGUGUUUUUCUUGUUGUUGUCAUUAUCCUCGACAGAUAAUUCAAAUGGUCGAUUCAUGGCUUGCUACAAUAGAUGAUUUUCUGAAUCUAAUGUAUUAUUUUGCUGCUGUUGUUAGGUUGUUAAUUCAUCAAGCCCGACUACUGAGUAUACAUAUUGUGUUCAUCUUCCCUGCCUUCUUAGGAAAAAUCAUGUACCAAAGUCUGAAGGUAAGCUAUUCUUUAUUUACAUUUUAUUUGUUUCUUCCUGCUAACCCAGGUUCUAAUUAAAUGCAAGAGCUUGUGUAAUGCUCAUUUGCAAGCUACAGGGGCAUGCUCAUUUAAUCUUUUAACAGAAAUUGUUUGCUAUCCGUAGCUGAUGUUAAUUCUUUGCUCGAUCUUAUGUCAGUAGGGUGAUCAAUGUAAUUGCCUGGAAUCGUUGGGUCUCCCUUUAAUUCUGUCAUCUUCUGUAUAGUGGUAUUAAAUAUAUCUGUGAUGAAUUGGCAGGUAAAUUUAGGUAUCAAAUAUACUCUUAU